UACGGGGGGGGCAAGCGUUGUUCGGAAUUACUGGGCGUAAAGGGUUUGUAGGUGGCCGGCUAAGUCAGACGUGAAAUCCCUCAGCUUAACUGGGGAACUGCGUCUGAAACUGAUCGGCUCGAGUGCAGGAGAGGAACGCGGAAUUCCAGGUGUAGCGGUGAAAUUCGUAGAUAUCGGGAGGAACACCAGUGGCGAAGGCGGCGAUCUGGGUCGAUACUGACGCUGAGGUGCGAAAGCGUGGGGAGCAAACAGG
rnacentral:rRNA from 1 species